GAUGAACGCUGGCGGCGUGCCUAAUACAUGCACGUCGAGCGAACAGACGAGGAGCUUGCUCCUCUGACGUUAGCGGCGGACGGGUGAGUAACACGUGGAUAACCUACCUAUAAGACUGGGAUAACUUCGGGAAACCGGAGCUAAUACCGGAUAAUAUAUUGAACCGCAUGGUUCAAUAGUGAAAGACGGUUUUGCUGUCACUUAUAGAUGGAUCCGCGCCGCAUUAGCUAGUUGGUAAGGUAACGGCUUACCAAGGCAACGAUGCGUAGCCGACCUGAGAGGGUGAUCGGCCACACUGGAACUGAGACACGGUCCAGACUCCUACGGGAGGCAGCAGUAGGGAAUCUUCCGCAAUGGGCGAAAGCCUGACGGAGCAACGCCGCGUGAGUGAUGAAGGUCUUCGGAUCGUAAAACUCUGUUAUUAGGGAAGAACAAAUGUGUAAGUAACUAUGCACGUCUUGACGGUACCUAAUCAGAAAGCCACGGCUAACUACGUG
rnacentral:rRNA from 1 species